rnacentral:lncRNA from 1 species
AAUAAGUAGCGGCCCAGCGCUAACAUAUACCAAGCCACUAUGAUACGACGUCGUUGCCUCGCCAUAAACCUCUUUCCUUCAAACCCUUACAAAAUACACACGCUGAGGCUUCUCCAUCCUUCAAGCGCGGAACUUUCUGGAGAUACCCAUUUGUCUCUCAUUUUCUGAAUCUCACCCUCAAUCUCUUGCAGAUUCUGUAUUUGUACUUCCAAUUUCCUAAAUUUACUUCUAAUUUCAGUAGAAAAUGGCAUUUACAUCACGGGCUCCUGAUAUUUCUGGCGAACGACAAUCUGGCCAGGACGUUCGCACUCAAAAUGGUACUUCAUCAUUCUCGAUAUGUAUUUAUGCGUGUCAUUUAGUUUUUUUUUUGUUAAUAUAUUUAUUUUUGCUUUUGGAAAUGUGCAGUCAUGGCUUGCCAAGCAGUUGCAAACAUUGUGAAAUCUUCGCUUGGCCCUGUUGGCCUUGACAAGGUAUAUAAAACGCACGAAUA